rnacentral:tRNA from 2 species
GGAGAGGUCGCAUAGCUGGCCUAGUGCGGCGGUUUGCUAAACCGCUAUACGGCGUUAAAACCGUAUCGAGGGUUCGAAUCCCUCCCUCUCCG